AUUGAACGCUGGCGGCAUGCUUUACACAUGCAAGUCGAGCGGCAGCGCGGGGGCAACCCUGGCGGCGAGCGGCGAACGGGUGAGUAACGCAUCGGAACGUAUCCUGUAGUGGGGAAUAACUCAUCGAAAGGUGAGCUAAUACCGCAUAAGCUCUGAGGAGGAAAGCGGGGGACCGAAAGGCCUCGCGCUGCAGGAGCGGCCGAUGUCCGAUUAGCUAGUUGGUGAGGUAAAGGCUCACCAAGGCGACGAUCGGUAGCUGGUCUGAGAGGAUGAUCAGCCACACUGGGACUGAGACACGGCCCAGACUCCUACGGGAGGCAGCAGUGGGGAAUUUUGGACAAUGGGGGCAACCCUGAUCCAGCAAUGCCGCGUGAGUGAAGAAGGCCU
rnacentral:rRNA from 1 species